rnacentral:rRNA from 1 species
AUUGAACGCUGGCGGCAGGCCUAACACAUGCAAGUCGAGCGGAUGAAGGGAGCUUGCUCCUGGAUUCAGCGGCGGACGGGUGAGUAAUGCCUAGGAAUCUGCCUGGUAGUGGGGGAUAACGUCCGGAAACGGGCGCUAAUACCGCAUACGUCCUGAGGGAGAAAGUGGGGGAUCUUCGGACCUCACGCUAUCAGAUGAGCCUAGGUCGGAUUAGCUAGUUGGUGGGGUAAAGGCCUACCAAGGCGACGAUCCGUAACCGGUCUGAGAGGAUGAUCAGUCACACUGGAACUGAGACACGGUCCAGACUCCUACGGGAGGCAGCAGUGGGGAAUAUUGGACAAUGGGCGAAAGCCUGAUCCAGCCAUGCCGCGUGUGUGAAGAAGGCCUUCGGAUUGUAAAGCACUUUAAGUUGGGAGGAAGGGCAGUAAGUUAAUACCUUGCUGUUUUGACGUUACCAACAGAAUAAGCACCGGCUAACUUCGUG